CGGCGAUAGUCACUGCCUCCUCUUUCAUGGUAGACUCUCUUGUCUAGCAUAGAUUUUUCCAAAAGUCAGAACGAAGAAAAUACAGACGCAAGUAUGAAAGCCAGGGUUCAAAAGACUCCCUUAACAUCAAGACAGGUGGUGAGUUUGAUUGCGGUGAGCGGUGCGGACCUCGUCAACGGCAUGAUGUUUGGCUGGACCGCGGUCUUGCCUAAGCUCCAGGAGGAAACCAGCAGGUUCACGGUGACCGAG